rnacentral:rRNA from 1 species
UGAGUAACACGUGGACAAUCUGCCCCCCGGCCCGGGAUAGCCCAGGGAAACCUGGAUUAAUACCGGAUGAGACGGGACCCGCGAUGGCGGGACCCGGGAAAGGCGCUGCGGCGCCGCCGGGGGAUGAGUCUGCGUCCCAUUAGCUAGACGGCGGGGUAACGGCCCACCGUGGCGACGAUGGGUAGCCGGCCUGAGAGGGUGGACGGCCACAUUGGAACUGAGACACGGUCCAGACUCCUACGGGAGGCAGCAGCUAAGAAUCUUCCGCAAGUGGGACGAAAGCCUGACGGAGCGAACCGCCGCGUGAACGAAGAAGGCCGUGAGGUUAGUAAAGUUCGUUUCGGGAGGGGGAACAACCGUGGCAGGGAAUGGCCGCGGGAUGACGUGAAUCCCGGAAUAAGCCCCGGCUAACUACGUGCCAGCCGCGGC